rnacentral:rRNA from 1 species
GAUGAACGCUGGCGGCAUGCCUUACACAUGCAAGUCGAACGGCAGCACGGGAGCAAUCCUGGUGGCGAGUGGCGAACGGGUGAGUAAAGUAUCGGAACGUGCCCAGUCGUGGGGGAUAACGUAGCGAAAGUUACGCUAAUACCGCAUACGAUCUAUGGAUGAAAGCGGGGGAUCGCAAGACCUCGCGCGAUUGGAGCGGCCGAUAUCAGAUUAGGUAGUUGGUGGGGUAAAGGCUCACCAAGCCGACGAUCUGUAGCUGGUCUGAGAGGACGAACAGCCACACGGGGACUGAGACACGGCCCAGACUCCUACGGGAGGCAGCAGUGGGGAAUUUUGGACAAUGGGCGAAAGCCUGAUCCAGCCAUGCCGCGUGCAGGAUGAAGGCCUUCGGGUUGUAAACUGCUUUUGUACGGAACGAAAAGGUUUGGCCUAAUAAGCUGAGCUCAUGACGGUACCGUAAGAAUAAGCACCGGCUAACUACGUGCCAGCAGCCGCAGUAA